UGCGGGCUAGAGAAACGGUAUCUCGUCGGGCUCAUAUCCCGAAGACACCCGGUUCGACUCCGGGGCUCCGCAACCA
rnacentral:tRNA from 1 species